CCCACACCGGCCAAGUAUUGUCACACCACUCUGACCAAGAAUUGCCCCGAAGAAUUUCGUAAUUUGAACGAGGUGCUGAGGCGGGAUAACCCCCCAGAAGCCCGUGAAAAGUUCCAGCCAUAGGCAUAAUCCAGCAAGCGAAGCUCAAUUUACCCAAAAGAGACGCAGCUGGUAAUGCCGAAUCUCCCGUGAACCCCCGAGCGAGCAACAUGUCCCGGCGCAGACCCUCAACCCCACUCAUUGGUAAA